rnacentral:hammerhead_ribozyme from 1 species
GUACUGUUGAAGAGUCCCACUAUAGGACGAAACGCGCGUCCUGGAU